UACGUAGGGGGCAAGCGUUGCUCGGAAUCACUGGGCGUAAAGGGUGCGUAGGCGGGUCUUUAAGUCAGGGGUGAAAUCCUGGAGCUCAACUCCAGAACUGCCUUUGAUACUGAGGAUCUUGAGUCCGGGAGAGGUGAGUGGAACUGCGAGUGUAGAGGUGAAAUUCGUAGAUAUUCGCAAGAACACCAGUGGCGAAGGCGGCUAACUGGCCCGGUACUGACGCUGAGGCACGAAAGCGUGGGGAGCAAACAGG
rnacentral:rRNA from 1 species